rnacentral:lncRNA from 1 species
CUUUUUGUUUUUGUUUUUGUUUUUCUGGAGACAGAGUCUUGCUCUAUAACCCAGCUGGAGUGCAAUGGUGCGAUCUUGGCUCACCGCAACCUCCAGCUCCCAGGUUCAAGCGAUUCUCCUGCCUCAGCCUCCCGAGUAGCUGGGGCUACAGGCGCCCGCCACCAUGGCCGCCUAAUUUUUUUGUAUUUUUAGCAGAGACGGGGUUUCACCAUGUUGGCAAGGCUGGUCUGGAACUCCUGAGCUCAGGUGAUCUGCCUACCUCGGCCUCCCAAAGUGUUGGGAUUACAGGCGUGAGCCACCGUGCCCAGCCAAAAUUACCAUCUUAAAAUAAAAACUAGUUGGCGGGGCCGACCAGUUAUAUAAAUAUAUAACUGGUCCAAAUAUAAAAACUUUGGGAGGCCGAGGUGGGUGGAUCACCUGAGGUCAGGAGUUCAAGACCAGCCUGACCAACAUGGAGAAACCCCGUCUCUACUAAAAAUGCAAAAUUAGCCGGGCGUGGUGGCGCAUGCCUGUAAGCACUCCAUCCUGGGCCACAAGAGCGAAACUCUGUCUCAAAAAUAAAUAAAUUAAUUAAAUAAAAUAAAUAAAAAUAAAUAAAAACUUCUUUUCACUUUUCACUGCCCACUUUUGAGGGUCACCCCUUUUUUUAUUAUACUUUAAGUUUUAGGGUACAUGUGCACAACGUGCAGGUUAGUUACAUAUGUAUACAUGUGCCAUGUUGGUGUGCUGCACCCAUUAACUCAUCAUUUAACAUUAGGUAUAUCUCCUAAUGCUAUCCCUCCCCCCUACCCCCACUUUUUUUCUUUUUGAGACGGAGUUUUGCUCUUGUUGCCCAAGCUGGAGUGCAAUGGCGCGAUCUUGGCUCACUGCAACCUCCGCCUCCCGGUUUCAAGUGAUUCUCCUGCCUCAGCCUCCCUAGUAGCUGGGGUUACAGGCAUGCACCACCACGCCUGGCUAAUUUUUGGUAUUUUUAGUAGAGAUGGGAUUUCACCAUGUUAGCCAGGCUGGUCUCGAACUCUUGACCUCCAGUGAUCCACCUGCCUCAGCCUCCCAAAGUGCUGGGAUUACAGGAGUAAGCCACUGCGCCCGGCUGAGGUUCACCUCUUUAUUUCUGUGGGGAGCCACAGAAUGUUACCUAGUGGAAAGGGACCUCAUCAAGGACCCAAUUCACAGUUUUGAAUUUCAGGAGACCACAGGCUGUUCAGAAGAGAAACAAUUACGUUCAAAAUUACUUUCUGUUAGUAUUCAUUGCAUUUAAUUCUUUUUGAGACAGGAUUCCGCUCUGUGACCUGGGCUGGUGUGCACUGUUGCAGUCACAGCUUACUUCAGCUUCAGCCUCCAACUCCCAGGCUCAAGUGAUCCUCCCACCUCAGCCUCUGGAGUAGCUAGACCACAUGUACCCAGCUUUUUUUUUUUUUUUUUUUUUUUUGAGAAGGAGUCUCACUCUGUUGCCCAGGCUGGAGUGCAGUGGCUCUAUCUCGGCUCACUGAAACCUCUGCCUCCUGGAUUCAAGCAAUUCUCCUGCCUCAGCCUCCCAAGUAGCUGGGACUAGAAGUGUGCCACCACGCCUGGCUAGUUUUUGUAUUUUUAGUAGAGAUGGGGUUUUGCCAUGUUGGCCAGGUUGGUCUCAAACUCCUGACCUCAGGUGAUCCACCUGCCUUGGCCUCCCAAAGUGCUGGGAUUAUAGGCAUGAGCCACCAUGCCCAGCCUGCGCCCACCUAAUUUUUAAAAUUUUUGUAGAGAUGGGGUCUCACUGUGUUGCCCAGGCUGGUCUGGAGCUCCUGGCCUCUAGCGAUCCUCCUGCCUUGGCCUCCCAAAGUGCUGGGAUUACAGGCGUAAGCCACCACAUCCAAUCCAUUCACUGGAUUUCAUUCUAACAACCACCUUGUACCAGUUAUCAGUUUACAGGCUGGUGGCUCCAACUUCAUGCCUCUCUGC